rnacentral:rRNA from 1 species
AAAGCAGCAGUAGGGAAUCUUCCGCAAUGGACGAAAGUCUGACGGAGCAACGCCGCGUGAGUGAUGAAGGCUUUCGGGUCGUAAAACUCUGUUGUUAGGGAAGAACAAGUGCUAGUUGAAUAAGCUGGCACCUUGACGGUACCUAACCAGAAAGCCACGGCUAACUACGUGCCAGCAGCCGCGGUAAUACGUAGGUGGCAAGCGUUAUCCGGAAUUAUUGGGCGUAAAGCGCGCGCAGGUGGUUUCUUAAGUCUGAUGUGAAAGCCCACGGCUCAACCGUGGAGGGUCAUUGGAAACUGGGAGACUUGAGUGCAGAAGAGGAAAGUGGAAUUCCAUGUGUAGCGGUGAAAUGCGUAGAGAUAUGGAGGAACACCAGUGGCGAAGGCGACUUUCUGGUCUGUAACUGACACUGAGGCGCGAAAGCGUGGGGAGCAAACAGGAUUAGAUACCCUGGUAGUCCACGCCGUAAACGAUGAGUGCUAAGUGUUAGAGGGUUUCCGCCCUUUAGUGCUGAAGUUAACGCAUAAGCACUCCGCCU